UUUUUUUUUUUCUCAUUGAGGCUCAGAAAGAAACAGGUUUCACCUGACCCUAAAAGUUUUUGUUUGUUUGUCUUGAAAUGUUCUAAAAACAGCCAAACAGAUCUUGUCGAUUUUUUUUAAUCAUCUUUCUUCCUGAAACUCUUGACUUCAUGGUGGGCUUGAAAUUAACUUGAGCAGCUGCUAACAGAGCUAAAGGUAGCCAUCAUCACAGUUCAUUUAAACCAUUGCUUCAGUUUCCAAAACUUUCUUAUCCUUUCUAAAAGUCUAGAUUUAGAUCCAGGCAUUAUCUCUAAUAAUACUGUUAAUAGUAAUAAUUAACUGAACACCUGUCUUGUGCCACACUUAAGCAUAUUCUAUUUAUGAUACAACGGCCUUUAUUGUCCAAGAACUAGAUUUAGAAGGGUUAAUUAAGCCCCUCCCAUCCCCAGUUAUCCAAGUACUAUUUUGGAGGGCCAGGGAUUCUUUUUCCAUUAAUUUAUUUAUUCACUUUAAAUUCCUAUCCCAGCGCCCCACUCCCACCCAACUUUCCUCACAUAGCUUCUUACCUUUUUUCACUUCUCCUCUGAGAAGGGUAAAGUACCUCCCACCCCCUCCAGGGUAUCACCACCAUUCUGGCACAUCAAGUCUCUGCAGGGUUAGGCACAUCCUCUCCCACUGAGGCCAGACAAGGCAGCCCAGUUGAGGAACAGAUUCCACAGACAGGCAACAAAUUUUGGGAUAGCCCCACCCCCUUAUGCACUCCAGUUGAAGGUCAUAUGUUAGGGGCAAGGUCCAGCCUGUGUAUAGAGAGCCAGGGUUUUCUAUUCAGGGUAUCUAUAUUACAUGAAAGACGAAGAUUACUGAAUCAUCUUAUAGGUUACCUGUCACAUUAAAAAAAAAAAUCCAAGAAGAAAAAGAAAGAAAGAAAGAAAGGAUAAGAAGAGAAAAGAAGAGAAGAGAAGAGACAGAAAAGAAUCAGCUUUGCAUUUAGUUUUCAAACUAAAUUUUCCCUCUUCUGACUAUCCUAGAAACCCCUUUUUACUUUCUAAAUUCUUUACUGUAGUCUUUCUUUUAUCUCUCCGAUAGAGUCUAUCCUGAAGAUGCAGUUGUUCUAUCUCACAGGGGCAAUACUCCUUUAGGAAGUCAGAAGCUUGAAAUGUCACAAAGAGCACAAACUGUCUUGUACUAAGCGACUGACCUGACCAAAUUAUAGCCGACUUUAUCCUUUUUGGACAGCUGAUAGUGAUAGAUGUGUUGAGAUUCUGAUACCUGCCAUUCAACUUCCCUCACUAAUGACUUAGUGAAAUCAAAAAGAUUGUCUCCUUGGUUCUUCAGUGUCUGCUUCUUUACUCUACUGAUAAUUAGAAUGAGUGUUUUCUUUUGUCCUUCAUGGAUUUUGAAUACAGAUUAAAGAAAAUAUUUAAUGCUUUGUAAUUUAAAUUUUGAAUGAUAUUGCACUAAUUCAUUAUAUUACUAAAGAUGCUUCCUUUUUUGUCAUAUCUGGAAGAAGCCUCCUGUAAGUGAUUAUAUGGAGUGAUGGCUCUUUCCCUUAUGAUCUAGCAGCUAAUUUUUAUUUCUGAGUUUUCUCUGGUCCAUGAUUAGAAGCUUGUGUUUGCUACCUCUUGUCAUCAUCUUAAAAGAUAUUGUGAAAAUGGGCAGUCAUUUUAAAUCUCUGUUUGACUAAAAUUUAGUCCAGUUUAGAUUAUAAACUAAAAGGAUGUUCUACUCACAGGUGUUUAGAUACUAUGUUACUUUCCAUGUGUCAGUAUGCUACUAUACUUCGGUUAGAGUGUUUUACACUAAUUUAUUUUAUACUUGUACUACUUUCUGAGUUAUAAAUUUAAUUAAUCAAUAGCCCAACAUUCCCUUUGUAGGAGAAAUGUUUUUAUUAUCCAAAUUACAAUUUCCUUUACAUGCUAUAUUUAGGAACCUAGCUGGAAGGCCUUCUGCCUUUUAGUUAUCUCCAGUCUUCCCCUUGUUUGUUUACAGCAUGAGAAUUGCCUUAGUUGAGGCCACAGUUUCUCUUUUUG
rnacentral:lncRNA from 1 species